UCUCAUCUCUCCUCUGCCAUUGAUGAAACUAAGAGAUUAUUUCUUAGUUUCUCAAUCUAACAAAGACUCUAACUUUUGCAUUUCUUUUGGUCGUUCUUAGAAUUUUUUUUUUUUUUUAUUCUUUGGAUUUCUCUUCCGGGUUUCAAUAAUUGUCACUUCCCAAGUGUAAGUACGCGUGUAUACUAGUCAGUUACACAAGUAUCCCUAUGUGUUUCUUUGUCUUUAAUUGCAUUUCUGAAAACUGAAUUUAUUGUUCUCUCAGAUUCUGAGUUUUUGAUCUACAGAGAAAGGCUUCAAAGGUUUGGUUUUUUCUCCGAGUUUUUUUGUCCUUAAAAAAAAACUUUGGUUGCUCUCUAAUAUAUACGUUGAAAAGAAGAAACUAAGAAAUGGGUAAAAGUUGGUUUUCAGCUGUGAAGAAAGCCUUAAGUCCAGAACCAAAACAAAAGAAAGAUCAGGAUUUGAAGUUGAAGUGUUCAAGGCUCGAAGCUCAUUUGGAGAAGGUGAAGCGAAAGUGUUCAGACCUCGAAGCUCAAUUGUUGGAAGAAAAGGCAAAGGUUUUGGCUGCCAUAGCUCCACUCUCGUCGUUUGAUGACGGUGUUUUUGAUGACUUUUUUGAGUUCUUAUGCAAGUAGAUCUAGGUUCUGCUAGUGCUAGAGUUGUUUGACAUGCUCUCUUGCUUUCUCUUCUAAAAUUAAGAAAAUAAUUUAAGUAGACUUCAUGUUCGCACAUUUAUAUAGAAGUUUUUUCUGUGGUUAAGGAUUCUCAAGGUGUCUUUAGUUUAUUGUUUUAUUGUGCAACACUAACAGUGAUUAAUAGAACCAAAUUCAUUGCCCCUGUGGAAGAUAAAUGAUAUUAAUUAAAAGAAUAUUUGAUGACUAAAAA